rnacentral:rRNA from 1 species
UACGGAGGGUGCGAGCGUUGUCCGGAAUCACUGGGCGUAAAGCGCACGUAGGCGGAUAUUUAAGUCAGGGGUGAAAUCCCAGAGCUCAACUCUGGAACUGCCUUUGAUACUGGGUAUCUCGAGUAUGGAAGAGGUGAGUGGAAUUCCGAGUGUAGAGGUGAAAUUCGUAGAUAUUCGGAGGAACACCAGUGGCGAAGGCGGCUCACUGGUCCAUUACUGACGCUGAGGUGCGAAAGCGUGGGGAGCAAACAGG